CCACCAAGGCAACGAUCAGUAGGGGUUCUGAGAGGAAGGUCCCCCACAUUGGAACUGAGACACGGUCCAAACUCCUACGGGAGGCAGCAGUGAGGAAUAUUGGUCAAUGGGCGAGAGCCUGAACCAGCCAAGUAGCGUGCAGGAAGACGGCCCUAUGGGUUGUAAACUGCUUUUAUAAGGGAAUAAAGUGAGUCUCGUGAGACUUUUUGCAUGUACCUUAUGAAUAAGGACCGGCUAAUUCCGUGCCAGCAGCCGCGGUAAUACGGAAGGUCCGGGCGUUAUCCGGAUUUAUUGGGUUUAAAGGGAGCGUAGGCCGGAGAUUAAGCGUGUUGUGAAAUGUAGACGCUCAACGUCUGCACUGCAGCGCGAACUGGUUUCCUUGAGUACGCACAAAGUGGGCGGAAUUCGUGGUGUAGCGGUGAAAUGCUUAGAUAUCACGAAGAACUCCGAUUGCGAAGGCAGCUCACUGGAGCGCAACUGACGCUGAAGCUCGAAAGUGCGGGUAUCGAACAGGAUUAGAUACCCUGGUAGUCCGCACGGUAAACGAUGGAUGCCCGCUGUUGGUCUGAACAGGUCAGCGGCCAAGCGAAAGCAUUAAGCAUCCCACCUGGGGAGUACGCCGGCAACGGUGAAACUCAAAGGAAUUGACGGGGGCCCGCACAAGCGGAGGAACAUGUGGUUUAAUUCGAUGAUACGCGAGGAACCUUACCCGGGCUUGAAUUGCAGAGGAAGGAUUUGGAGACAAUGACGCCCUUCGGGGUCUCUGUGAAGGUGCUGCAUGGUUGUCGUCAGCUCGUGCCGUGAGGUGUCGGCUUAAGUGCCAUAACGAGCGCAACCCCUCUCCUUAGUUGCCAUCAGGUUAAGCUGGGCACUCUGGGGACACUGCCACCGUAAGGUGUGAGGAAGGUGGGGAUGACGUCAAAUCAGCACGGCCCUUACGUCCGGGGCUACACACGUGUUACAAUGGCAGGUACAGAGAGACGGUUGUACGUAAGUACGAUCAAAUCCUUAAAGCCUGUCUCAGUUCGGACUGGGGUCUGCAACCCGACCCCACGAAGCUGGAUUCGCUAGUAAUCGCGCAUCAGCCAUGGCGCGGUGAAUACGUUCCCGGGCCUUGUACACACCGCCCGUCAAGCCAUGAAAGCCGGGGGCGCCUAAAGUCCGUGACCGUAAGGAGCGGCCUAGGGCGAAACUGGUAAUUGGGGCUAAGUCGUAACAAGGUA
rnacentral:rRNA from 1 species